rnacentral:rRNA from 1 species
UACAGAGGUCCCGAGCGUUGUUCGGAUUCACUGGGCGUAAAGGGUGCGUAGGUGGCGAGGUAAGUCGGAUGUGAAAGCUCGGAGCUCAACUCCGAAAUGGCAUUGGAAACUACCUUGCUUGAGGGUUGGAGGGGGGACUGGAAUGCUUGGUGUAGCAGUGAAAUGCGUAGAUAUCAAGCGGAACACCAGUGGCGAAGGCGAGUCCCUGGACAACUCCUGACACUGAGGCACGAAAGCUAGGGGAGCAAACAGG